rnacentral:rRNA from 1 species
GAUGAACGCUAGCGGGAGGCUUAACACAUGCAAGUCGAGGGGCAUCACGAGGUAGCAAUACUUUGGUGGCGACCGGCGCACGGGUGAGUAACACGUAUGCAACCUACCCUGUACAGGGGGAUAACCCGGAGAAAUUCGGACUAAUAUCCCAUACAAUUAUUGGAGGGCAUCCUUUGAUAAUUAAAGCUCAGGCGGUAUAGGAUGGGCAUGCGGAACAUUAGCUAGUUGGUAGGGUAACGGCCUACCAAGGCUACGAUGUUUAGGGGACCUGAGAGGGUUAUCCCCCACACUGGUACUGAGACACGGACCAGACUCCUACGGGAGGCAGCAGUGAGGAAUAUUGGUCAAUGGGCGCAAGCCUGAACCAGCCAUCCCGCGUGAAGGAAGAAGGCCCUAUGGGUUGUAAACUUCUUUUCCAGGGGGUGAAUAAUUCCGAUGUAUCGGGAGAUGACGGUACCCUGGGAAUAAGCAUCGGCUAACUCCGUG